CAUCCUCCUUACGUCCCACCCCCCACUCCUGUUUCUGGUGAAAUGUUCAGACAGGAGUGGGGGUGGGACAUAAGGAGGAUA
rfam:Pan troglodytes isolate Yerkes chimp pedigree #C0471 (Clint) chromosome 2A, whole genome shotgun sequence.